UACGUAGGGUGCGAGCGUUGUCCGGAAUUACUGGGCGUAAAGCGCGCGCAGGCGGCCUUUUAAGUCUGACGGUGAAAUGCCGGGGCUCAACCCCGUGCCCGCCGGAGAUACUGGGAGGCUGGAGACGAGUAGAGGCAAGCGGAAUUCCGGGUGUAGCGGUGGAAUGCGUAGAGAUCCGGAAGAACACCGGAGGCGAAGGCGGCUUGCUGGGCUCGGUCUGACGCUGAGGCGCGAAAGCGUGGGGAGCGAACAGG
rnacentral:rRNA from 1 species